AAGCCAAGCUGAGUAACCCAGCUGUCCCUGGAGGAGCGAUGGCACUGUUGGGGACCCUGGCAUGGGCAUGCCAGCCUAGCAGUCUAGGCCUGAAGGGUGCCCUCCUGGGGCCAUCGUGUCCCCUUGGCCUUGCUCCCCUGCUGGGCCUCUGGCCACUCAGAUACCCUGUGUGCCCAGGCUCCUCAGAGGGAAACUGGUGGCAGAGGGGGCGGCUUCUGUCCCAGCCAUCUCAGCACUUGCUUUUUAUAUGUUUCCAUAACAGCAAUGCCAAGAGUAGCACAGGUGAACAGAGAGAGAGGUGAGAGGAACCCAGGAGUGGCACCUGUUGCUGCCUCUCAGUGUAGCCUGGGUUUUCAUAUGUGAAGCAAUAAGAGUGAUUCAAGCCCCAGCUCCCAGGAACUGGAAAUAGAAACCCCGGCACCCCAGGUCUGCUUCUGAGUCACUGGUAGCCUCCGCCUGCGAGUCCGAGCUCUUCCCCUUCUGGAGCUGGGAGAGAGAAGCAGCAUGCGGCAAUGACAGCGGCUGGCUCUGGGGCCCGGGGUUGUUGCGUCAAGCUCCCCUGUGACUGGUGGCAGCUGGGGGACUGCCUGAAGACCUGUGCUCUUUCUUCUCCUGAGGUGAUCCCCUCAUCCUGACCUAGGCUCCAAGGCCCCCUACCCCCGGCAUUUCUGCAUCCUCUCCACACAGGUCCUUGGUGUGUCUGAGUGUCUGCCGCUGUCUUUUCAGUGUUGUGCUCCUUUGCCUGGUAAGGAGCCGAGGUGGCGCUGGUUGAGAGACUCACCCAGCGGCACCAUGGGUGGUGGACUCUCAGCCCAGUGCUUUCUUCCCCAGUGGAAGUGAGCCUCUAUUGCAGCCCCGAUGACCCAACACCACUGGAGUCAGAAUUCCGAGGGUGAGGCAGAGCCUGCACUUGCUGAGUUCAUUCAUUCAUGCAUUCAUUUAUUCAGUCAUCCAUUCAUUCAUUCGUAAUGAAUGAACUGCCAUGCUGAAGAGCUGGGUCAGAUUAGUGGACACAAAAGUGAACUGUCCUUGAGGGCCUGAGGGGAGAUGGGUGGCUGGGGGAGAUGGGAGGCAGCUGCAGUUGCUGCUGAUGGGAGCCCUGAGGAGAGACACCUAAACUUGGGGUGCAAGGAUGGCUUCCUGGAAGAGGUGGUUGAGACCAGAAUGAGGAAUAAAAGUGGCCUUGGAAAAUUAAGCUGAGGGUGGGAGAGAGGAAUGGUGCCCAGCGUCGGUGUAGCCCUGAGAGCAACAGAGUGCAGUGCACCUGCCACCGUGUGCUUAGUGCCAUUCCAGACCCAGGAUCGUUCGUAUGCCAUUCAUAUGCCAUUAGCAUACACGGAUUAUUCGUAUGCCAUUAGCAUACUCGCUCCUUCUCUGUCCCUCCUACCUGGGACCCCUGCCCACCCUGAGUGCCCAGCUCCCUACUUUCCUUCUAGCGGCAGGCCUCAGUGCGGGCACCAUUACCUCCUUGCCGCCCACUGCCCUGGCACAUGGACGCUCCUCUGGGUGUGGAUCACUUCCCCCCGGGGGGUAACUGGAGAAGAGGCGGCAGGUGAGACCACAGGGCCAUCCUGGCACUGACUCUGUCCUGGAGACCGGGGGAAGCCUUUGUCCCGGUGGCUGCAAUGGGUUUCAGGAGAGAGCUUCAAUAUUUGUUGCAAACACAGGCACAAAAGAUGUGGAGGACUAUUGUGGGCUGUCCAAAGAGGAGCUAAUCCUCCUGGCCAGAAGGGGUUCAAGCACUGGGCAGGCUCUUGGGGUGUUGCUCUGUGUGGGCAAUUGUAGGAGAUAAUGGGAGGGGGUAAUCCCUGCGCAGGCACGGGUGAAGGUGUGGUGAAGGGGGACAGCACCUGUCUCGAAAGCUCAGGAAACAGGCAACACUCCCUGUGCUUCCACGCACUCUGGACCCCGUGCCUGGCACAGCGGCCCUCUGCCAGCCAUCUGAGUCACCUUAUUAGCUGUCCUUGGCCGGGGUCACUCAUGUCUGCGAAGGGGAUGACGGUGAGGUCAGCCAGGGCUCUUGGGCCUCUCCCCCUAUCCCUCCCUCCACCUCCUCCCCUGGCUUCUUUUUGGUCCACACAUAUGGACAGUCAUCUCUUGGUUCCUGGGGGCCCAGCUAAGGGACACCAGCUGUAUUCAUAUGCCAUUAGCAUACACAGAUUCUACUGCAGGAGGCUAUUUUUAGCUCCUCCUUCUUUCAAACCUGCCCAGCCACAUCUAAUUAUGGUACUUGAAUGUACUAUCCAGCCACAGAGCAGAGAAAGUCUUUGGUGGAGGUGAUGGUGAAGGGGUUCCCUAGGUUCCCUUCAAGAAUGAAUGGUGGUCCACCCUCGGGUUCUCCCCACCACCCAUUCUUGGAGCCAAAGGAAGAAAUCUGUAGUCCCAGGAGCUGGAGGGUUGGAACUCAAUUCUUGAAGCUUUGCAUUAGCACAGAGGGCUCUGUCCCAGGAUUUCCUCACCUCUAGACAUCUCCAAGGGUGCAAAAUGGUGGGGAGGGAAAUGAAGAGGAAGACAUGUGACAGCUUUACAUAAAUAUGCAUAAUUCUAUAUAACUUGCAUGGGUGGGAUUACUGAGUUUUCCAGAAAUGUUCAAAUUCAGUGUUUUUGCUUCCUAAACAGUUCCUCUCUCUUGAAUUUUCUUUCUUUUGCUUCUCACAAGCUUCCAAAGAUUCAGGCAUACCCCCUCCCCAGGGGGCAGAAGAGGACUGGGUAGGAGCUCAGUGCAGACUGGGAGGAGAAGACCGGCAGUGUAGAGGACUGAGCUGGAGCAGAAGAGGGCCAGUGUGGAUGUCUGAGGUUUCCGUCGGACCCAGCAGUGCCAUCCCAAUUCCAAGAUGCCCAGGGAUCCUGAGGUGAGAAGACCAGCACCUCUAACUCAGCCUGCUUCACCUCCCGACCUAGCAGUCCCCGAGCAGAUCCCAUCUGCCCCCAUGGUGGCUCCUUUGUUCUGUCUUCUAUAUGGAGAGAGGCCUCGCCUGCUUUGGACAUCUCUGUCCCCAGCAUCUUGGCAGAGCUCUUGGAAUAUAGGAAGAUUAUCCCUGUGAAGGAGGCAAGGAAUAGUUUUUGGUCCAUGUUGUAGAGGAGAAAAUGGAGACCACAAAUAACAGGUCUUGGCUCAAGAUCACACAAAGGCUUGAUGAAGAUGAUCUGACUUCAAGUAUAUGACCUUGCCUGAUUGCACACACAGGUAUAAACAAUACCACAAGGAAAAGUCUUGGUCCUGUUCUCUGACACACCUGACAGUGUUGCGUGAACGCAGGCUGGAUUUGCAGGCUCCGUUCGCAGCACAUCGCAUUUCAUCGCGCCAAAGAGAAGCACCAGUCUACCGCUAAACUAGACGAGGGUCUUUUGAGGGACCAGGCUCGGGUUUAGGAAUGGGGAUUUCGAGGUGUCGACUCCCUGCCAAGCCCUGAGAUUAGCCUUGGUAAAUAGCUAAGCAUGGCCAUUUCUGUGGCACUUCACGGGGCAGUGCACACACUUGAGGGUUUAUCUUCAGAAUCGAGCCUCCGAGGUUGGAAACACUUGCUGCUAUUGGCUGACAUCCAGGAGAGACUUGGCUUCCCCCGAUGCCGGAGAACCAAGAGCGAGCGAGGUGAUCUCGCCCCACCCCGCGGAGGCUCAGCCUCCACACCAGGGCACGCGGGGUUCGGGGGUUUUCAGGCUCUGUUCCUUGCUUGCUGCAGAAUCUGAGUCUCUGCCUUGCACUCAAGGGUGCGCGCUGUAAGCGACUAGAAGAGCUUGGGGUUCACAUCACCCCCUCCUUCCCUCCUCUCUCCUUCCCUUCUGCCAAUAUUUAAUUUCCUUCCUCUAACUUUUUGGUUGAGUAAUCCAGUCGAAGAGUUGGAAAUUAAAAGUGUAAAACUAUAGAAGGAAAAGGCUUGCUCUUGCUACCGACUCCUCUCUCCAUCCCUCCUAGAGUUUUCUUUAUAGAUAAGUAAAACUGAACAUAAUUCUCAAACUUCCUAUUAUACAAUUAAUAACAUAUUAUACAUGUGAUUCCACCAUUGUCUUCUCAAAUAACAAUGCGCUUGGAGAUCUGCUCCACAGACCACUUCAUUGUUCUUGUUAAACAGCUGUAUAAUGUCUUGCUGUAUUCCACUAUAUUUAUUUAUCACCUACUGGGCACCAAUCUUACAUGAUGUGCUGGGCUUACAAUGAUGGAUCCAACCAGACCCUGCCUCCAAGGAGACUACAGGGUAAGCACAAUAGAUAAACAAUUCUUAUAAACCAUUUCAUGUAGUAUUUGGUCAAAAAUAUUUAUGGAGCACCCAUAGCUCUGCACUGGGGGAGCACAGUCAGUGAGACCCAAGGAAAGCCCACCCUUCCUGUGGGGCCUUGAUGAGGGACAUGUAGGACAGUGUCAACCUGUGGCAGGGUCCCAAAGCAGGAAUAGGGCUCAGGGAAGGCAAACGGAGGAAGUGAGGUUUCGGCUGAUGAUGAAUAGCCAAGGAGGGAAUUAUCCAUGUGGGGCCAAGGCUCCAGCAGAGGGAUGCAGGCUGGCCAAGGCAGGGGAGCUGCCUGGGGAGCUGGGUGGAGCCCUCAGGGAGUGGAGGCCUCACAGCAGUCUGGGCCUGCGGGGAGGGAGCGGGGCUGUGGACCACAAGAGAGAUUUGCCCUCAUGAAGGCCACAGGAGCAUCUGCCGUGUGGAUUGGUCAGGGGAGGGACCUGAGGUAGGCAGAAGGCCACAAGGAGGGCAGAGCGUGAAAUGCAUUCAGGUUGCCUGUCCAAGUGAAGGCAGGGGAGGGGAGGAUGCGGUGGUGUGGCCGGGCUCACCUGGAUUCGAGCUGGGGGCAGAGGAGGCUCCUCCCCAACCAGGUUCAUUGACACCAUGGAGGAGCAUGACUGGCCUGGCGCCCUACGUCUUCAUCACCCCCAUCCUGUCCUCUGUUUCUGGGCUUAACAAGGACCAACCCCUUCCCAAGACUGCUUCCGUCCCAUCGUGCACACACAUACCACAGCACGUACACAAAGCACACACACGUAUGCGUGUGAAUGCACACCCUGCCCUGCACACUACACACUCACCUCACCCAUACACAUACUAUACACUCACCCCACAUACACAUGCCGCACCCUGCGCACCCCCCACAGCACAGGCCGUGGCCCUCCACCAAGCUGAGCUCUGUCAGCUGGUCCUCACCCCCAGGAAAUACCCAAAGGGGCCUCCAAUGCAUGCAGCCCUGCCGGGCCUGUUGUCACCUCGCCACGUAGCCCAGGUUUAUUUGGUGAUAAGAUUUGGCUUUGUUUUUCCCAAGCCUCAAGGGCAUGUGCCACCCUGAGCCUGGCCUGGUUCUCUCUUCUCCAAUAGAAGCUGCCUCCUUCGGCCAACCCCUGAGCCCACUAGGGUGAGUACGGAGGGCCAGUAUCAGACCUGGGAGUGGGAUGGGGCUGCCGCUGGCCCAGCACAGGGCCCUCUGUGGACUCACUUGUCAGCUCAUUCGCUCUGCUCUGGGCCAGGUGUGUCUCAGGGGCGAUAGGAUGGAUGCACCCAGGUCCCCAUUUCCCAUUGGUUUCUGACUCCAAAGAAGAUGAAGAAUGUGGGUGUGGGCCUUGGCACAGCCUCCAGGCUGCUCUGGCCCCCUAGCACAUCAUUUCCCUUCCAGCUGCAGGCCUCUGUCACUGUGGAGGACACAGAAACUCACAUUGGCGCAGGUCCCAUGUCCACUUCACGGACGGGUGGUCUUCCUGUCCUCAUGGCUUCUGCUGUUGCCAUCUUGAAGUUCUUAAUAACUUCUGAGCCAAGGGGCUCAGUGUGUUCAGUUUGUACUGGACUCCGCACACGAGGGGGCCAACCUUAGUUUAUUGUUAUCUGCCCUUUAGUAUCUUUUGCACUUUGAAUCAUGUAGGUAUGGCAUUUAAAAGUUGAAAAGUAAAUUUGGUAGCACAGAAUACAUCCCUAGACCCCCAGUAGAUGACCGAAACUGGAUAGUGACAAAUUCCAUAUAGUCUAUGCUUUUCCCUAUACAUAAUCACCCAUGAUGAAGUUUAAUUUAUGAAUUAGGCCCAGUAAGAGAACAGGACAAUUAUAACGUUAUAUUGUAAUAAAAGCUGUGUGAAUAUACACUCAAAAUAUCUUAUGCAGUACCUACCCUUCUCCCCUGCGAUAUGAGAUGAUUUAUGAACUUUAUGGUGAGGAAUGAGGGGUGAUGGAGGUCUUGUGACACAAUGUUCAGCUACUCAAGUGUUGCUUGAACACAAGCAGUAGAUAUAUAUGGCAGCUGAUCUGAUAACCAAGUCUGUUACUAAGUGACUAAUGGGUGGGUAGUAUACGCAAUGUAGACACCCUGGACAUAGAGAUAAUUUGUGACCUGAGCAUUGUGGUAUGAGAUUUCAUCACUCUACUCAGAAUGGCAGAUGGAUUAAAGCUAUCCAUUUCUCCCUUGUUAUGGUUGAUACAUUGUGUCAACUUGAGGAGUCUAGAAGCUUAGCUCUGGCAGUUCUACAUCCUG